GCGCAAGGAAGCUGAUUGG
rnacentral:sRNA from 1 species